rnacentral:piRNA from 1 species
UAAAAGAGUAUCCGAAAGAUGGGGCUG